AAAGACGUGGAGGGCAGCUGUCUUCCUCCCUGGCCGUGACGACCCGUGCCAGACUCCAGAUGCAGCAGACCUGUUGCAUGUAGAAAAGUGGCGGGGUUCGGCGUUCCAGGCUUUCCUUCCCGGCUUUGCCCACCACCAGAUCUGAGCCCACCCCAGGAGUCCCGGGACACAGCCUGUUCCGAAGGAGAAAAUGAGGGGAGUGCCAGGAGUCGCCUGGGUGGAUAAUCAUCCCAGGGCAAGGGGCUCUUUCUACACGCCGCGAUGGCCGCAGAUAAUUACACAGUUCCGGGAAGGGAAGGGAGAGGCUCAGGGGAUGACGCCCGGGAGGGACUCCGGUCUGCCGAAAAAGCACUUCUUUGGCAGACACGUCCUAGCCUCGCCCUUACCCCGGGCAAAGGGCUCCUGCUCUUCGGAUCCCCACCUCGGAGGCCAGGAGCCGGCAGCUGGAGGUCCCCGAGUCCCUCCACGACCAAUAGGAAUAACUUGGUGCAAAGUGCCCGAGGGUGCCAGAGAGAAGAGGCGCGCCUGGAAAAGGUGAGUUUAGGGGAAAGCUGGACAGUGGGAACGCCAGGUACUGCUCUGUUGCAAAGUAUUGCCACAUCCAAGCCGUGUUCUCUCUCCUUCCCACCGACCUGCGCUUCUUCCUUCUCUCUCCGCAAUCUCCUUACUCCCUAACGCGUAUGAAGGAAGGGAUGGAGGGAGAAGAUAUUUAUUGAAGCCGAGAUAAGAAGCACAUUUUAUCUGGGUCAGAGUAUCUGGGUGCAGAUGAAAUCUGUCCAAAAUGAACAUUAAGGUCCUCAGUUUUAGCCAAAGGAGCCCAGAGCGUGCCCUUAACACGAGGAGCAGAAUGAUUCUUUUGCCAGAGAGGAAAAAAGACGCAGAGGGGAAGACGUUAUCACAAAAGGGCUAACGGAUGUGGGGGAGGAGGAGAGCGGACGGGACCCAGGCUAGAGUGUGGUUACCUGGCAACCAGCCCCAGCCUCCUGUUGCCUUGGUUACAGUGAGUGGUGGGGUUUUGGCCAUUGAUUAUCCGUGAGCACCCUGAUUCUUUAAAUUAUCUACUGGGGAGCCCUGCUUUCCUUGGGCUGGAUGUGAGGCACAACUAGUCCUAUAAAAUCCCAGGGGUUUAAAAGAAAAUCCUAGACGGUGAAUUUUUUUUUCUUUUUUAAGUCAAGGUUUAUGGUGAAGCAGCUACCUUUCAACCAUGGCAACACUUCCCACUCUCUCCCCCGACCUCUUCACUGAGGUAAGCAUAUUCCAUCCUGCCUUUUAUCUGAGAUUUACAAUUGGGGGUUUUUCUUUUUCCUUUUUUUCAUUUGGUCCCUUAGAUGGAAGGUCUGAUCUUCCCUCUCUUUAUUUUCUCUUUAAAUGAGAAAAACAUAUUUGUUCUUCAUGGAUGAAUGCCAGGAAGCCAGGGGAAUUGUCCAAAGGUGUCUCUGGUACAGAAAGCAUUUCUCCUUGGCUUGCCCGUGGUUCCUCCCUCCCUAAACAACAUCCAUCAUGAGAGGGGAACUGAAUUCUAGAUCACCUCCUCUUCAGACUUCUUCCCACAGACCACAUAGUGCAGGUCAGUAGAAAUGCUGCUCCCUCAGCAAAUUGCCAUGGGCAUCACCUACCUUUGAUUCCAUGGGAUUCUCCUCUCUUUAUUUCUUCUCCAGUCUGCCUUUAUAGUUAGCAAAUAUGGCACUCAACGCUUCUAAUCCUCGGAUCUUCGUCCUUUCCUUUGAUUGACAAACACUGACUCCAUUUUUCACCUGUCUGCUUUAUCCACCUGCGUUUGUUUGUAGUAUCUGUGGGAAAGCAUUUUACCCAUCCUUUCCCAAAGGCAUUUGUAACAGUCUCAGAAUGAUUUCAAGGAAUAUCAUUAGCAGGUUAAUAGGACAACCUGUGUUCUGUGCACUAUUUCACCUAGAAUACUUUUCCUUAAGAGCCAUGAACUUUCCAUUUCCAAAACAUUGUUUUAAACUGAGCUAUGACUUGACAACAGGGAAAUCUGUUUCAAACUGUAGCUGUCAUAUCAUUAUCUGUGACGCCCUGCAUCAGAAAACACACAUUUCAUUUUCUCUUCUUUGCCUUUUCCUUCACAUAUUGCCGAUGUUAAGAAAGAAAGAAAGAAAGAAAGAAAGAAAGAAAGAAAGAAAGAAAGAAAGAAAGAAAGAAAGAAAAGAAAAAUCAUUAUAACUUCGACCUAAGUUGAAGGUCAAAAUUACCCUCCAUUGGCUAGUUUUGGGGAGAUUUACAUUAAAAUUCUUCUCCUUCACAUGUUACUAUAGAAACUUCUUUUUAAUGCAGACCAGACAGCUGGUACUUUGUACUUUUCUUCCCAAAGACAUGCCUCCUUUAUGAAUUCUCUGGGACAGCUAUCACUGAUCACAUCAAUAAUGUCCCAUAGCAACAGUGUUUUUUUUUUUUUAAUUAUUAUUCCCUUUUUUGCCUAUUUUCUUUAUGGACAAAGGAUCUUCUUUCCUUUCAAGAAGAGAACUGAGAUCUUAUUGGCCAGUAAAGGAGAGACAUUAUUUCAUUGGUUAGUUUGUAUUGCCUUGCCAACCAACCAGAGGAUGCCAUUUAUCCUUUUCUGACUAGCUGAGUGAACAGAGUACCCAGAAUGUUUGAAUAUGCCUUAAUUUCAUCCAGCAGCAAAGGAUGGAGCUCAGAGUUCUAGGACCCAGGAAGUUUGGCUAAUCCAGUUCUUGCUUUUGCAAGAACAAAUUUUGCUACCUAGUUAUUUGUAGCUUUCUUGAACAAAAAUUACAUUGUCCUAUAGAUUUUUCUUUUCAUUUAAAAAUAUAUCUUGAGGGCGGCCCCGGGUGGCUCAGAGAUUUGGCGCCUGCCUUCAGGCCAGGGCAUGAUCCUGGAGACCCAGGAUCGAGUCCCACAUCCGGCUCCAUGUAUGGAGCCUGCUUCACCCUCUGUCUGUGUCUCUGUCUCUCAAGAAUAAAUAAAUAAAAUCUUUUUAAAAAUGAAAAAAA
rnacentral:lncRNA from 12 species